AUUGAACGCUGGCGGCAGGCCUAACACAUGCAAGUCGAGCGGAGCGGCGGACGGGUGAGUAAGGCCUAGGUAUCGGACUGGGAGUGAGGGAGAACGUCCGGCAACGGGCGCUAAUACCGCAUACUCUCAGCCGCGCCUAGGUUGGAUUAGCUAGUUGGUGGGGUAAGGGCCUACCAAGGCGACGAUCCGUACCUGGUCUGAGAGGAUGAGCAGUCACACUGGAACUGAGACACGGUCCAGACUCCUACGGGAGGCAGCAGUGGGGAAUAUUGGACAAUGGGCGAAAGCCUGAUCCAGCCAUGCCGCGUGUGUGAAGAAGGUCUUCGGAUUGUAAAGCACUUUAAGUUGGGAGGCGUUACCAACAGAAUAAGCACCGGCUAACUUCGUGCCAGCCGCCGCGGUAAUAC
rnacentral:rRNA from 1 species